rnacentral:rRNA from 1 species
AUUGAACGCUGGCGGCAUGCUUUACACAUGCAAGUCGAACGGUAACAGGCCGCAAGGUGCUGACGAGUGGCGAACGGGUGAGUAAUGCAUCGGAACGUGCCCAGUCGUGGGGGAUAACGCAGCGAAAGCUGCGCUAAUACCGCAUACGAUCUAUGGAUGAAAGCGGGGGACCGAAAGGCCUCGCGCGAUUGGAGCGGCCGAUGUCAGAUUAGGUAGUUGGUGGGGUAAAGGCCCACCAAGCCAACGAUCUGUAGCUGGUCUGAGAGGACGACCGGCCACACUGGGACUGAGCCACGGCCCAGACUCCUACGGGAGGCAGCAGUGGGGAAUUUUGGACAAUGGGCGCAAGCCUGAUCCAGCAAUGCCGCGUGCAGGAAGAAGGCCUUCGGGUUGUAAACUGCUUUUGUACGGAACGAAACGGUUCGGGUUAAUACCCUGGGCUAAUGACGGCACCGUAAGAAUAAGCACCGGCUAACUACGUGCCAGCAGCCGCCGUAACAC